rnacentral:rRNA from 1 species
AAUAUUGGUCAAUGGAGGCAACUCUGAACCAGCCAUGCCGCGUGCAGGAAGAAUGCCCUCUGGGUUGUAAACUGCUUUUAUACGGGAAUAAACCCCUUUACGUGUAGAGGGCUGAAUGUACCGUAGGAAUAAGGAUCGGCUAACUCCGUGCCAGCAGCCGCGGUAAUACGGAGGAUCCGAGCGUUAUCCGGAUUUAUUGGGUUUAAAGGGUGCGUAGGCGGCCUGUUAAGUCAGGGGUGAAAGACGGUGGCUCAACCAUCGCAGUGCCCUUGAUACUGGUGGGCUUGAAUGUACUUGAGGUAGGCGGAAUGUGACAAGUAGCGGUGAAAUGCAUAGAUAUGUCACAGAACACCGAUGGCGAAGGCAGCCCCCUGGGCCGAUACUGACGCUCAUGCACGAAAGCGUGGGGAGCAAACAGG